GCCAGAUAGUGGAUUGGGCUGGUAGAGCACGAGACUCUUGAUCUCAGGGUUGCGGGUUUGAGCCCCACAUUGGGCA